CCUACGGGGGGCAGCAGUGGGGAAUAUUGGACAAUGGGGGCAACCCUGAUCCAGCCAUGCCGCGUGUGUGAAGAAGGCCCUCGGGUUGUAAAACACUUUCAGCGAGGAAGAACAGCGCUAUUUCGAAUAGGCUUAGCGUGUGACGGUACCCUCAAAGGAAGCGCCGGCUAACUCCGUGCCAGCAGCCGCGGUAAGACGGAGGGCGCAAGCGUUGUUCGGAAUUACUGGGCGUAAAGGGCGGGCAGGUGGUCCGUUAAGUCGUCUGUGAAAAUCCGGGGCUCAACCCCGUGAAAUGCAGACGAUACUGGCGGACUAGAGAUUGGUAGAGGCUAGCGGAAUUCCUGGUGUAGCGGUGGAAUGCGUAGAUAUCAGGAAGAACACCCGUGGCGAAGGCGGCUAGCUGGGCCGAGUCUGACACUCAUCCGCGAAAGCGUGGGGAG
rnacentral:rRNA from 1 species